ACUGGACAGAGCAGAUUAAGCCUUUCUUGGCCUACUUCCUGGAACGGAGGAGGACAGAAUGCCUGAAGUACUAUGGGCCCUGGUGACAAAGUGGGCAUCUUAGGGACAUACCCGGCCCUCGGGUAAAGGAAUGCCCUAACCAUGCCUGGAGCAAAUUCCAGGCACGAAACAGAAAGUGCCUGAAGAUCCCCGAUCCUUUUUAGUGAGGAAAUAGCAAGGAGAAAGAUGGUCUUGAGACUG